rnacentral:rRNA from 1 species
CGGCCCAGACUCCUACGGGAGGCAGCAGUGGGAAUAUUGCACAAUGGGCGGAAGCCUGAUGCAGCAACGCCGCGUGCGGGAUGACGGCCUUCGGGUUGUAAACCGCUUUCGCCUGUGACGAAGCGUGAGUGACGGUAAUGGGUAAAGAAGCACCGGCUAACUACGUGCCAGCAGCCGCGGUGAUACGUAGGGUGCGAGCGUUGUCCGGAUUUAUUGGGCGUAAAGGGCUCGUAGGUGGUUGAUCGCGUCGGAAGUGUAAUCUUGGGGCUUAACCCUGAGCGUGCUUUCGAUACGGGUUGACUUGAGGAAGGUAGGGGAGAAUGGAAUUCCUGGUGGAGCGGUGGAAUGCGCAGAUAUCAGGAGGAACACCAGUGGCGAAGGCGGCUACCUGGACCAAUACUGACACUGAGGUGCGAAAGCGUGGGGAGCAAACAGGA